AAGUCGUAACAAGGUUUCCGUAGGUGAACCUGCGGAAGGAUCAUUAUUGAAUAAACUUGUUUGGGUUGUUGCUGGCUCUUAGGAGCAUGUGCACGCCUAACACAUCUUUAUAACCACCUGUGCACCUUUUGUAGACCUAAGAUAAACUCUCGAGGCAACUCGGUUUGAGGGGCUGCUGUGCGAAAGCCAGCUCUCCUUGUAUCUUCAGGUCUAUGUUUUUAUAUACCCCAUAAGAAUGUAACAGAAUGUCUUUUACUGGCCUUUGUGCCUUUAAUCAAAUACAACUUUCAACAACGGAUCUCUUGGCUCUC
rnacentral:misc_RNA from 2 species